GUCGGUGUCGAUGACGGUAAGGUUCCACCUGUUCCCAUUCCGAACACAGAAGUUAAGCUUACUUGUGCCGAAGAUAGUUAGCUGGAAACGG
rnacentral:rRNA from 1 species